CGCCCAACAGCUAGCCCCCUCAGCCGAAAACAACAAACCACCAUCAAUAACCCCAAAUGCACCAACAUUAUUAUUAAACAAACCAUUUUUCCCCCUUAGUAUGGGCGACAGAAAAGGGACCAGGAGCAAUAGAGAAAG
rnacentral:rRNA from 1 species